rnacentral:rRNA from 1 species
AACGUAGGAGACAACCGUUAUCCGGAGUUACUGGGCGUAAAGGGCGUGUAGGUGGUUCUGUAAGUCUGGCGUGAAAUUUCUCGGCUUAACCGAGGCAGGUCGUCGGAUACUGCAGGGCUAGAGGACGGUAGAGGCGUGUGGAAUUCCGGGUGUAGUGGUGAAAUGCGUAGAUAUCUGGAGGAAUACCGGUGGCGAAGGCGGCAUCCUGGACCGGCAUUGACGCUGAUGAGCGAAAGCUAGGGGAGCAAACGGG